rnacentral:rRNA from 1 species
UACGUAGGGUGCGAGCGUUGUCCGGAAUUAUUGGGCGUAAAGGGCGCGUAGGCGGCCUUGCAAGUGACGGGUGAAAUCCCUCGGCUUAACCGAGGAACUGCCUGUCAAACUGCAUGGCUUGAGACCGGGAGAGGUGAGUGGAAUUCCCAGUGUAGCGGUGAAAUGCGUAGAUAUUGGGAGGAACACCAGUGGCGAAGGCGACUCACUGGACCGGUACUGACGCUGAGGGACGAAAGCGUGGGGAGCAAACAGG